GAUGAAGAACGCAGCGAAAUGCGAUACGUAAUGUGAAUUGCAGAAUUCAGUGAAUCAUCGAAUCUUUGAACGCAUAUUGCGCUCUCUGGUAUUCCGGAGAGCAUGCUUGUUUGAGUAUCAGUGAACACCUCAACUCCCUUUUCUUUUUUGAAAUGGGAGCUGGACUUGAGUGAUCCCAACACUUUUCUCACUGGAAAGUGGCGGGUCACUUGAAAUGCAGGUGCAGCUGGACUUUUCUCUGAGCUAUAAGCAUAUCUAUUUAGUCUGCCUAAAAAACAGAUUAUUACCUUUGCUGCAGCUAACAUAAAGGAGAUGAGUUCUUGUGCUGACUGAUGCAGGAUUCACAGAGACAGCUUUGCGGCUGACUUUGUAAACUCGAUCUCAAAUCAAGUAAGACUACCCGCUGAACUUAAGCAUAUCAAUAAGCGGAGGA
rnacentral:misc_RNA from 1 species